rnacentral:rRNA from 1 species
AGUGAACGCUGGCGGUAGGCCUAACACAUGCAAGUCGAACGGCAGCACAGUAAGAGCUUGCUCUUACGGGUGGCGAGUGGCGGACGGGUGAGGAAUACAUCGGAAUCUACUUUUUCGUGGGGGAUAACGUAGGGAAACUUACGCUAAUACCGCAUACGACCUACGGGUGAAAGCAGGGGAUCUUCGGACCUUGCGCGAUUGAAUGAGCCGAUGUCGGAUUAGCUAGUUGGCGGGGUAAAGGCCCACCAAGGCGACGAUCCGUAGCUGGUCUGAGAGGAUGAUCAGCCACACUGGAACUGAGACACGGUCCAGACUCCUACGGGAGGCAGCAGUGGGGAAUAUUAGACAAUGGGCGCAAGCCUGAUCCAGCUAUACCGCGUGGGUGAAGAAGGCCUUCGGGUUGUAAAGCCCUUUUGUUGGGAAAGAAAAGCAGCAGGUUAAUACCCCGCUGUUCUGACGGUACCCAAAGAAUAAGCACCGGCUAACUUCGUG